GGACCUUGAGUUCUUUUGGGCCUCUUCUAAUGAGAAUAAGUACCCAAUGGUAUUACCAGGCUCCAUAAGUCCAUCAAUGUAGUGAACUAACUAGAUUGAUUGUAUCCAGAUGAUAUAUUCCUCAAAGUUCAAAGAGAGAGUAGAAGUCCAGCCAAACCUCCAUUCCAUACAUAGAAUUAAAGUUUAAUCCCACUUCUCUAGUGAGAAACAUUGGAAAAUAAGAUAGAAGAUAUCAUUAGGGAGAUAACUGACGUUACCACCUUUGGCACAGCAUUCAUGGUUGGAGUUCUCAAAGAGUGUUCAAGGCAUAGGUGUUCAUAUUUAAAAGACCCUGUGUAUCUCAACAAUUUUGCAUCUGAUGGUUACUCUGUUUCUCCAUCUAAAGUCACUCUACUUCCGAGGAUAAAGAGCUUCAGGUUUGAUACCGAUAUAAAUUAUAGUCCUUUGUGUAAGAAAGAAUGAUAGCAUUGAACACAUAGAAGUGGGGAAUUUGUCAGAAACGAAGUCUCAAAAGACCCACACUCGAUCUAUAGUUCGAAGUGAAGUUAGGUGCUGGAAGGCUGUGGCUAAGCCAGUGAUCUUACAUUCCCAAUACUAAGAUCAUGCAGUGAAGUAGGCACAUCAACAGGCUCUGAGGAGAAAAGCACGAGAAACUGAAGUGAGAAGGAUAGCAACAUGGAUAAAAUGGUUACACUGAGUGGCUUUGAAUAGAAGACAGCAAGCAACAGAAGUACUGAAACUUUAGAAGUUUAUUUCAGCUCAUGAAAUCAUAUAUAAAUCAGUAAACAAGAUGCAAGCAAUAGAAAGUAUGGGAUACACAGCUAAACAUAGUCAUAAUGCAAACAAAUGUAAAUACACGUAAAUAUUACAUAACCAUGUAAACCAAGCAAAACUGAUGUUGAACCAAGGAGAAAGAUAGUAUAUGCAACUUAGUUCGUCUUAUCUGGCAAAGUUGGUCAAAAUAGAAGGUCGAAAUGGAACAUACCUAGGUAGAUGAACCUGGUAGAUUGUUAGGUCAAUUUAGGGUAAAAUCCUUCACAGGUUUUUCGUCAAGUUUGUUUUUAGCUUUUGUUUUCAAGUUAUAGCACUCUUAAGUUAACCACUUUCAAAAAAAAAAUUAUACUCCUAAACAUUAGGACUAGACAUGGUUGAAUUGUAAAGGCAAACCAUACCUGGUUGAGCCUUCGACCAGGCACGGAUUUGCAAACCAUGCAACUUAUGAAGAAUAAAUUCCAGCUUAGGAUCUUGGUUUGCUAUGAUGAGAUAACAAAAACAAAAAUUAGAAUACAUAUACAUUGAACUUUAUGCAGGUCAGUUAUUCAUAUGAACCUGACAAAAAAACUGCUAGCAAAGGCAAGUGUCUGUUCUUAAAUUUCUCAUAGUACUUUUCUGAAAAAGGGGAAAUAGUCAAAGUUAAGUCACUUCUAUUUGUAAAAUAAAGUUGGGAAACUUGGCCAAUCCCUUUCUCAUCCACGACUCUUGAGCUUCAUCCCGUUAUUCCUUAGUCUCAAUGUAAAGCGAAUCAAUCACUUUCUAAUUUGAUAAAAAGAAUUCAAUCAAUUCCAUCCCUUUCUCUAGGUCACAUAGAUUCUUCAAGUGUACUCUAUUGAGACAACCUAUCCAAGUAUUAGAAUCAAAAUUCAUUGUUGUCAAAUAAUUUAGUAACUUGUACCAAUUUGAUCAACCAGUCGUAUUUUGCUAGACAGCUGGACCAACAAUAAGAGCAAAAAAAGUCUCAAGAAAUCACAAGUUUACAGGAGCAAUAAACCAAAGAUAAAAUGAGAAAUGAUCAUCAAAAGAGGAUGGAAAAUUCUGGUGCAUAAAUUUUGCUAGUACUCACCCAAAUAUACAGUGUUUCUAAAGAAAGAGAACUUCUUAAUAAGCAAAACAAAGCCCCUGAUCUCAUUCUUUUCCAUUAAAUCCAAACAAAUAUUCGUAGUACUCAUAAAAUUAAACGUGAUAGAGCGUUUGCUAGGUACAUCCCAGCUAAACAAAGCCUACACAAGAACCACAAUCCUUUCCAGGUUGUCAAAUAAAUCUCCUAGAAAUUAAAUAUCAUCAUAAUAACAAUAUUUUUUGCACAGAGUUUACAUCAAUAAAAGCAGAAACAAGAUUCAUGAUCACUCUUAUCCAGAUUCAUUGAAGUGAAAAGAAAGAAGAUUUGGGGCAUGAAUUUUGAUAACAGAGACCUGCUAUAAUCUUCCACUACUACGCGCUUCAACUUUCUACUAUUGGACACCAGAGAACCUGGUCUAGAGAGACUGAAAACCAUUGAAAUCAAAUACAAUUUUUUCAUAUGAAAAAUCAUGAGAAAGCAGCCCGACGUAAUAAAUAUUUCGAUACAUUGAUAUUUGUUUUGGAUUCGCUGACUGCUAUUCAAUAGAUUCAAGGGUCAUUAUAAAAUUUCAUACUAAAACCCAUAAAAAAAAUCCUUAAU
rnacentral:lncRNA from 1 species